AGGGCCUGCGGCGCCCGGCCCCGCCUCCGCCGCCAAAGUCCGCCCCCCAGUAGGAACCUGACCCGCCUCCGCCUCCUCUGGUCCGCCCUUGGAGGGAGGAGCCCGCAACUAACAGCCCUGCUCCCGUCCCGCCCCCGCACCGGGCAACUGGCCCUGGGAGGAGGAGGAGGAGGAGGAGGAGGGGCCCGGGGCGGUCGGCCCCUCCUCCGCGGCGAAGGCCCACCUCUGAGAAAAACCCGAGCCUGAGAUGGUUUGUAGUAGGCUUGCCUGCUGACAGGCUUUGACCACUGUGAGAGGCUGGAGGAGCGGAGUAGGAAGCCUCCAGAGAGCUGGGCCCGUGGGGGAACUCUUAGCCAUUGUCGCGGCCUCAUCUCCGGUUGUGGGACAUGGGGUCAGCCAAGGCUACUGUGAAGUUUCUUCGUGACAUCUCAAGGAAUGUCAGUGAGAUUUGAGCACAGAAAUCCGCAAAAGUUCUACAGCGGGAGCGGUAAUCUGGUGGGAAUGCUGGGCCAGGGGACUGGCCAUGAAGCUCUGUUUGCACAGCACCCGAUGUUUAUAUUUAGAUUGUUUAUGGGGAAGGGGCUGCGGUCCUUCCAGCUACUCCUUGGCAACCGGCAGGAUGAGUAAGAGAGUAAAUCCAGUUCCUGUUACUCCAUCUUUGGCAAAAGGGGAAGUCUGGAAAUCUCUUUUAAUGUGUAGUUGAAACAUCUUAAACCUAAAAGCCCUAGAAGUGGUAUGAUUCCAGUAGCAGCAAGCAAACCAAGCCACCAGAUACUGGUUUCUAAAUACUAUUCUCCAACAAGAGGAACCAGGUCUUCUUGGACAAAAGGCUGCUUUCAGGAGCAAAGCAGGGACUGGAUGACCAGGAACAUCCUUCUGGGCCAGGAAGUAAGAAGUGUUCAAAGAAUAAUGACAUGUCAGAGGGACACAGAAGUCAGUUAGAAAGGACUUUUAUUAGCCAAAUCUGGGAUAAUAUAUCAAAAUAAAAGUGAUGGUAAACAAGUUACAUCCACUGAUUAAAUUAGGGGCCAUCAGUCUAUGAUGAUAUAAAUAAAUGGAUGAUUAAAUAGAUGGAAAACUCUUCCUUAUAAUACAAUGUCAACUAAUAAAAGUCGAAGGAAUAAUUGAAUAAUAAAAUCAUCAUUUUGCAACCCUCAUAAAAAUAAUAAAUUCAGGCAAAAAACAUCAAUGGAUGGAAAAAUGGAUGAAAGAUGGAUCAAGAACAGGUUUUAUGUACAUUGUCUCAAAGUAUCUGUCUACAAAAUAAUCAUGAAAAAAAGAGUAACUUUAUUGUGAAGAAACCUGAAGGCACAUCCUUAUUCAAGUGAUCGAAGUUAACAUCAACAGUAGUGGAAAAAAUCAACAUCAUACAUUAUCUGAUGGAUGCCUUGAGCCAAGCACAGAAUUACUUCACUGGUCUUGCCUAAAAUACAUAACCUGACUGUGAGAAAACAACAGGCAAACCCAAAUGGACGAACAUUCCACAGAAUAACAGGUCUACAAUUGUUCCAGUUAUCUCUUGGUUUGUAGCAAACACCGUAAAACCUAGCGGCAGCAGGGAUAGCUCUCCUCAGUUCUAAGCUGUCAGCUGGUAUAGCCCAGAGCCUGGCUCCACUAGGCCUCAGCUAGAGUGGCUCAAAGUCUGGGAGCUAGAAUCAUGUGAAGAGAUGCACUCACAUCUGUUGACACCUGAUCUGGAAGGCUCACCCAGCUGAAGGCUGGAACAGCUGCAGCCCCUCUGACGUGUCUACCUCUCUAUUGUCUCUUCAUCACCACAGCUUCAGGGUAACUGGAUUUUCUACAUGUCAGCUGAGGACUGCCUGGGAGUGUGUAUGUGUGUCUGUGUGAAAGAGAGCCAGAUAGAAGGUUGUAUGGCUUUUCUUACCUAGCCUCAUAAGUUACACAGGACUACUUCUCCAUAUUCUGUUCAUGGACUGAAGCACAGGGUUUGUCUAGAUUAAGAGACAGAAUUCUAGAAGAGCAUGUGGAACUGGAAAUGUGGUACAAUGCAUAGAAAAAUACAAUUAGCAUAGUAAUCUGAGAAAAAGAAGGUCAUGGGAGGGCUAAGGAACUGUUCUAGAUUGAAGGACAGUAGACAGCUGAGUAAAUACAUGCUCCUGGAUUUAAUCCUCUUGCUAUAAAGGGCAUAAUAGGAUAAUUGGCAAAACCUGAAGGCCCUCAGUAAGUGAAGGGUAUAUGGGAGCUCUUUGUGCUGUUAUCACAACUUUGCUGUAAGUUGGAAAUCGCUUCAAAAUUUUAAAAGAUAAUAUACACCAUAAAAUCUCAUUGUUUAAAAAUCUUGCAGUUAGAGGCACCUGGGUGGCUUAGUCAGCCAAGCGUCUGCCUUCAGCUCAGGUCAUGA